AAAAUUCCCCCUUUUUCCUAAAUUUUCAAUUUCACUUUCUUCAUAUUCAUCAAACUGCCCCAAAUUUCAUUUUAUAUUUCCCUCCAAUUUCAUUUUGUGCGUCCUCCAAAUUUAAAUUUGCAGGUUCAUUCUAAGCCUUGGGCCAAGGUUCAUCAUGUGCGAUGAAGAUAGGAUUCUUAGGUACUUUUUCCUCUCAUUUUGAUUUCCCCUAGAGCUACAUGAAAACCCUAAGUCGGCACUAAAAAAUAUUAUCGAAGGAUGGGUCCAAACCUAGAAUGUCGUUUGUACGAGGCGAGGUACCCGAAGGUGGACAUGCCGAUGAUGAUACAGGCGAAGAACAUCGCGGACAUAGCUGCCUACUUGUCACUUUUGGAGUACAACAACAUCGAGGGUAUGAUCUUGUUCUCGGAGCUCUCCCGCGUUCAGAUUUGGAGCGUCAACAACCUCAUCAAGGUGGGGCACAUCGAGCCCGUCAUAGUCCUCCGUGUCGACAAGGAAAAGGGUUACAUCGAUCUCAGCAAGCGUAGGGUCUCCGAAGAGAACAUUCAGGCCUGCGAGGAGAGAAGCAAGGAAUAUUAGUUCUCAACAAUGCCAUUACUUCUUGCAUUGAAGCAAUAGAACAACACAAGGGUAAACUUGUCGUUAAGGAGGUUUUUUUACCUGUUGAAGAAAGAUUUUUGGAAGAGAUCCAGGGCAUCUCACUGUUGACAGAAGUCACCCAAUGGAGUUUGUACUGCUCAAUGCAAUGCGUCUUGCUGACAUAUUCUCUAAUGAUUCAGAGUUAACUUGUUUUAGUAUCAUUGACUACAUACACAUCCAAUGUGUUGUAAACAUAGUGUUAGGUAGUAUAAACAUAUUCUGUUUUGUUUGUAAAACUACACUAAAUUUAAUUAGAGACAAGAUAUUAUGCACCACUUGUUUUAUCUUUUCAUUUAUAAUCAUUGCUUUAUGAUA